rnacentral:rRNA from 1 species
AUUGAACGCUGGCGGCAGGCCUAACACAUGCAAGUCGAACGGUAACAGGAAGCAGCUUGCUGCUUCGCUGACGAGUGGCGGACGGGUGAGUAAUGUCUGGGAAACUGCCUGAUGGAGGGGGAUAACUACUGGAAACGGUAGCUAAUACCGCAUAACGUCGCAAGACCAAAUAGGGGGACCUUCGGGCCUCUUACCAUCGGAUGUGCCCAGAUGGGAUUAGCUAGUAGGUGGGGUAACGGCUCACCUAGGCGACGAUCCCUAGCUGGUCUGGGAGGAUGACCAGCCACACUGGAACUGAGACACGGUCCAGACUCCUACGGGAGGCAGCAGUGGGAAUAUUGCACAAUGGGCGCAAGCCUGAUGCAGCCAUGCCGCGUGUAUGAAGAAGGCCUUCGGGUUGUAAAGUACUUUCAGCGGGGAGGAAGGCGAUAAGGUUAAUAACCUUGUCGAUUGACGUUACCCGCAGAAGAAGCACCGGCUAACUCCGUGCCAGCAGCCGCAGUAA